AUAAUAAAAUUCCUAAACAAUAAACUUCUAAAUUUCCUAAUUCUACAAUAAUAAUAAUCCUAACCCAAUACUGCAUCAGCUAUGCUCAAGAUCACUGUCUUUUAAUCUGUGUAUGUGUGUGUAUGUUUUUUAGCUUUUAAUAUAGUACAAGUUCCGGCAUAUAAUUAUUAGGUAACAUGAACUACAACCCAGAAGAGAGUUGGGUGGAGGGUGGUUAUUUGGCUGAAGGCAUUUGUGAAAAAUUAGCGUAGUUAAGUUGGUUAGAAUAAUGGGUAGAAUUACAUGUAAUACAUUGCUUCAUUUACUAAUAGUUCAUAGAUUAUAUUGUUUUAAUGAUAAGCCAUUAUGUCUCUCUUUUCCUAGAACAUAAUUUGUUCUUUCUUGUUGGUUUAUUUUUCAUCUCUCUAUUUGGAGCAGUUUGCGUACAACCUUGUGUGUU
rnacentral:misc_RNA from 1 species